rnacentral:rRNA from 1 species
UCAGACGAUGCGUCAUGCAUAUCAAUAAGCGGAGGAAAAGAAACUAACAAGGAUUCCCUAGUAACGGCGAGUGAAGCGGGAAGAGCUCAAAUUUGAAAUCUUCAAGGUUUUACCUUGACGAAUUGUAGUUUAAAGAAGUGUUUUCUGUUGAAGUUUUGGUAAAAGUUCUUUGGAAUAGGACAUCAUAGAGGGUGAGAAUCCCGUAUUUGACCAUUAUUUUCAGCUGUGUGAUACACUUUCAAAGAGUCGGAUUGUUUGGGAAUGCAGUCCAAAAUGGGUGGUAAAUUUCAUCUAAAGCUAAAUAUUGGCGAGAGACCGAUAGCGAACAGGUACCGUGAGGGAAAGAUGAAAAGAACUUUGAAAAGAGAGUUAAACAGUACGUGAAAUUGUCAAAAGGGAAGCGUUUGACACCAGUGUUGUUUUCUCGAAAAUCAAUUAAAAAGAGUUGGAUUUUGUGUUGUAUUGACCUUAACAGCUUGCUUCACUCUUUUCCUGCUUUUUUUAAUGCACUUUUCGUUUAACAAGUCAACAUCAGUUUCUUUUGUUGUAAAAGGGUCAUUGGAAGGUGGCUUUCUCUUCGGAGAAAGUGUUUAUAGCCUUUGAUCUCUGCAAUCGGAGAGACUGAGGUCUGCAGCGUAGAUCCUUCGGGGUUAGAUACAUUUGUGCUAAGCUACAGCUUUUCAUAGACAACUUGUUGACUAUGUUUAGUCUUGUAACUUACCCGCUUAUGCUAUUUUACCUACGCUUAGGAUGUUGAUAUGCAUGACUGAUAU